GAUACAGAAAUAGGAAUGAUUUAAUCCAGCGACACCUCCCCGCUGCGGCCCGUUCCUCAAUCCCUGAGCUCGCCGGGAGGCGGUGGGGAGGCGGGAUCGCGCCCAACUCCGGCUCGGGGGGCGGAAAUUGCCCGAGUGGGAGGCGCGAGGCCGGACACCGCCUCGUAACCGAGUUAGGUUCUUGCGGGGGGUGGACCAAGGUCGCCUAGGGUUGCCCACGGGCCCUCGGGCGGACCUCAGUCCGGCCCGGCACGGCCGACGUGGACAAACCGGGGCGUGAGGCGCUCCCUUGGGUCUCUCAGCAGGGGUCUCGGGGGCGGGAGGGGGCACACGCGGGUCCUUAACCCGCGCGCGGCAGCAUCACCGUCUACCCUUGAGUGAGGCAGCACGGCCACUCCAGCAGGGACACAGAUGCGGCAUGGCCCGGUCUGGUCCGCACGCUCCCACACACGCCACUGCCAGUACUCCCAGGGAGCUGGGACCCGAGCAAGCCAGGACGCUCCGCGGGGCGGCCUGCGACGCGCGCGCCCGCGAAUGCGACCACCGCGUGGAAGCGCGGCCCGCUCCGCACUGCUGCGUCGCUGGGCCGCGGAACUUCCACCGACCGUGAGCGGGUCGCAUUCUAGAAUCCGCCGUGGACUAAGUAUCGACUUCCAGAGAGAAAACAAUUUGAAGUUGGAGGGUUUCGACUUGAAUCCCGAAGCGCCCCUUAUGCCCAUUCUGCACAGAACACUCGGAGGAGAUAGGGUCUUUAUUUGGGCUCCUGCGUGCCCAACUGGCUGCACAGACUCAGAUGAAAGCGUGUCCACGUCUACACACAGCUGUGUAAUUCAGGAGCCUGAGGAUGCGCGGGGCUGGUGGGACUUAAGUGUGCAGACACAUGGGCGCAUGCACGCGCGCGCGCACACACACUCACGCCCCAAAGUACCUCCGGGAUGGAGAAAGCCGCUACGGAUUGGCCAGUACAGCCGUCACUCUCAGUCGGGAGGCAGGGAAACUUUGCAAGGCUGUUUCCUUCUUUUUCGCCCCUCCCUACCGUUUCAUUUAAUGCUAAAACAACAGCAGAGCUCUAAAAGUUCGCCAUCUGCGCGCAGAGCUCGCCCUCUCUAACGAGGGGGGCGUCAGACAAUAUCCAUUUAAAUGUAUUUUGUGCCUCCACAAUGGAUGAAAAGGGAAAUUAGCAAUCCCGAGAGGAGGCGGAGGGGGGGCUCCGAGUAAGGAGAAGGGGGACAUCUGGGAGGGGUGAACGCAGGGUGAAGAGUUGUCCCCAACACCGAAAAGAGACUUCGACCUUUCAUUGAUCUCGAAACUAGAAAAUGUUUUUCACAGGUCAGAUCAUAACAAACGCCGGUCCUAAUCUAUGAACUGAUUUUAUUCUUUAAGCAUGCGCCAGCAAUGGUGUUUCCUUAAGAAAGAACUGACCUAUUUUUGGCUGGAGAUAAACGAUCAUGUUAACAGAUGUUAACCUUGUAAUCUGUUUUUCCGUAAGCACUUUACAUACCCCGGUUUCAGACCUUAAAAAUAACAUCUUUUCCAAAAAGACCUGACGUCACAGUUCACUCCCUGAAAAAUGACUCCCCCUCUCCCGUUUUCUUCCUCUGCAGUGAUUUCAAAGACAUUAAAUCUUAUUCACUUUAUAAA